UACGAAGGGGGCUAGCGUUGCUCGGAAUCACUGGGCGUAAAGGGUGCGUAGGCGGGUCUUUAAGUCAGGGGGGAAAUCCUGGAGCUCAACUCCAGAACUGCCUUUGAUACUGAGGAUCUUGAGUUCGGGAGAGGUGAGUGGAACUGCAAGUGUAGAGGUGAAAUUCGUAGAUAUUCGCAAGAACACCAGUGGCGAAGGCGGCUCACUGGCCCGAUACUGACGCUGAGGCACGAAAGCGUGGGGAGCAAACAGG
rnacentral:rRNA from 1 species